rnacentral:rRNA from 1 species
AUGCACUCCGGCGGCCUCCUGCAAUCCCUACCAGUCCCCUCACAGAUCUGGGCAGAUAUUUCUAUGAUUUUUGUGAAGGGCCUUCCACGGGUGCACGACAAAUCAGUCUUUCUUUUAGUGGUGGAUCGAUUCUCCAAGAUGGCACGCUUCAUUGCGCUUGGUCACCCCUACUCGGCAGCAACAGUCGUCCAUGCUUUCUUCACCGACAUCGUACAGCUUCACGGCCUACCAGAGACGAUAGUAUCUGAUCAAGACUGGGAGAAGCAUUUGAGGUAA